AUUGAACGCUGGCGGCAGGCCUAACACAUGCAAGUCGAACGAGUGGCGGACGGGUGAGUAAUGUCUGGGAAACUGCCUGAUGGAGGGGUAUAACUACUGGAAACGGUAGCUACUACCGCAUACCAUCAGAUGUGCCCAUUUGGGAUUAGCUAGUUGGUGGGGUAACGGUUCACCAAGGCGACGAUCCCUAGCUGGUCUGAGAGGAUGACCAGCCAAACUGGAACUGAGACACGGUCCAGACUCCUACGGGAUGCAGCAGUGGGGAAUAUUGCACAAUGGGCGCAAGCCUGAUGCAGCCAUGCCGCGUGUAUGAAGAAGGCCUUCGGGUUGUAAAGUACUUUCAGCGGGGAGGCGUUACCCGCAGAAUAAGCACCGGCUAAAUCCGUGCCAGCCGCCGCGGUAAUUC
rnacentral:rRNA from 1 species